CUACUUGUUUCAGCAGUACAUAUACUAAUAUUGGAACAAUACAGAGAAGAUUAGCAUGACCCCUGUGCAAGGAUAAAACACAAAUUCAUGAAGUGUUCCCUAUUUGG